rnacentral:rRNA from 1 species
CCCGCUGAACUUAAGCAUAUCAAUAAGCGGAGGAAAAGAAACCAACCGGGAUUGCCUCAGUAACGGCGAGUGAAGCGGCAAGAGCUCAAAUUUGAAAUCUGGCCUUCUGGUCCGAAUUGUAAUUUGUAGAGGAUGCUUCGAAUAUAGCCUGGGUCUAAGUUCCUUGGAACAGGAUGUCAUAGAGGGUGAGAAUCCCGUAUGCGACUCGGUGUCUAUGUUCAUGUGAAGCUCCUUCAACGAGUCGAGUUGUUUGGGAAUGCAGCUCAAAAUGGGUGGUGAACUCCAUCUAAAGCUAAAUAUUGGCGAGAGACCGAUAGCGAACAAGUACCGUGAGGGAAAGAUGAAAAGCACUUUGGAAAGAGAGUGAAACAGUACGUGAAAUUGUUGAAAGGGAAACGCUUGAAGUCAGUCGCGUCGUCCGAGACUCAGCCUCGCCUCGGCUUGGUGUACUUCUCGGACGACGGGUCAGCAUCAAUUUUGCCCCUUGGAUAAUGGCGAGGGAAAUGUGACACCUUUGCGGGUGUGUUAUAGUCUCUAGUCGCAUGCAAGGGUCGGGAUUGAGGAACUCAGCACGCGCCUUCGGGCGUCGGGGUUCGCCCACGAUACGUGCUUAGGAUGUUGGCGUAAUGGCUUUAAACGACCCGUCUUGAAACACGG